AAAGAAAUGGUAGAUUACAUGCCACAUAUCCAUAGAGUCAAGGGUGCAAGUAACCGGCCCCAAGAUUCAUGCCACCGCAGAGAAUGGCUUGGAGGUGGGGGCAUCACCGGCCUGUACAUUACUGUUCCAGUUAAGCAGAUUGAAUGGAGAGAGAGCCGAAAGAAAUUGAGGUAUUGAGUUGGUUUUUUUGGUGCAGAAGAAGAUUGGAAAGUGGAGACUAGUAGGUUGAUGAGUGUGUGUUAGUGGCAUUGGCUGGCUGGUGAGUGUUUGUUAGUGGCUUUGGCUUGGUUUCAACUAACUGCUGUACUGCUUUGGGCGGGUAAUUG
rnacentral:lncRNA from 1 species